GCGCUUAACCUUCCUUGAUUCAAAUCUAAUUCAUCUUGAUCAAAGAUCAAGUGAAUGACUUUGCAUUAAGGAUAGGUUUCUUCUUGGUCAAGCAAAAAACCUAAAUCAAUACAAGAUCAUCCUUCUUUUCUUUUGGCAUGGCAAGUUGUAGGAGCUUGGCUUACUAGUCAUGGUCUCUAACUUGUGUUUGUUAUUGGUCAAGCAAAAAACCUAAAUCAAUACAAGAUCAUCCUUCUUUUCUUUUGGCAUGGCAAGUUGUAGGAGCUUGGCUUACUAGUCAUGGUCUCUAACUUGU
rnacentral:lncRNA from 1 species